AUGCCUUCUGCGAAAUUGUGUUGCAGAAAGUUAUGAAAACGUCCGUAUUUGGAGGAGUUGUUUUUUACAAUAAGUAACAUUUCACUUGUAUGAGGGUAUGUGUUGUGCAAAAGUUAACAUUUUACUUGUGUGGGGUACGUGUUGUGCAAAAGUUAACAUUUUACUUGUGUGGGGGUACGUGUUGUGCAAAAGUUAACAUUUUACUUGUGUGGGGGUACGUGUUGUGCAAAUAUGAUCAUUUUACUUGUGUGUGGGUACGUGUUGUGCCAAAAUAAUCAUUUUACUUGUGUGGGGGUACGUGUUGUGCAAAUAUGAUCAUUUUACUUGUGUGUGGGUACGUGUUGUGCCAAAAUAAUCAUUUUACUUGUGUGAGGGUACGUGUUGUGCAAAUAUGAUCAUUUUACUUGUGUGAGGAUAUGUGUUGUGCAAAAAUUAACAUUUUACUUGUGUGGGGUUAUGUGUUGUGCAAAAAUUAACAUUUUACUUGUGUGGGGGUACGUGUUGUGCAAAAGUUAACAAUCUACUGUUUAUGUGUUGUGCAAAAGUUAACAAUCUACUGUUGAGAACUCGUACGAACUUAUAUUUGUUUCUCUUUUAGUAAAAGCGAAAUAGUUAUUUUAUAACUGAUAUACAUUUACUUUGCAAAACAAGAAUUGUUCAACCCAUGACUCAUUUUCUGAAAAUGGAAGGUAAAGAUACUUCUUUAUCAACUCAAUUUCUAAAGAACCAAACUGUGGUGGAAACAACAUCAGAUAAAAACAAAGCUGGUCAAAUCGUUAAGUUUAACACUUUGCAAGAAGCUACAACAGCUAUUCAAAAUGUUGAAACGGACACCUUGACCAAAUUUAUUUUCUUGAGAAGAAAAAAAAAUGAUUUAAGAAAAAGUAAAGUUCAAUGGGAUGCACAAGAAAACAUCCCAUUUGUUGUUAAAUCGUUCACAAAAUACGAAUGUCAACAUGGCAAAGAUAGAAAUAAAACAAAGAAUUUAAAACGACAAAACCAGUUUAAGGGUCCAGCUGACCACAUGUACGGGAAAAAAAAUACCUUUGCGUGCAAGGAUCAAAGAAAAUGAAUUGCACUGCAUGUUUAAGUAUUCGGGAGAUUCUUACUUUCCCACAUUAUAAGGUAACUCAAGACAGCUUUUACACUACGUUGAUGAGUGUAGCAAAUCAAAGAUGUUUUGCAUAUCUUAUGUUUGUUUUAAAGGUUAAAACAGAAGAAAAAUGGAAAAAACAGAAAACAUCACAACAUUUGAAGACAGUCGGUUUUUCAUCUGUAAAAAACAGUGUUAGUUGUUUUAUUGUACUGUUUCCCUCUAUCCAUGAUCACAGUGGACAUCCUGUUGAAGAGGCUGCAGGCAUCCAACAACGAGUGGAUAGCAGAGUGAUUGACAAAGUCGGAGAACUAAUCGAUGACCGUGUUUGCUCCAUCAUGAAAAUACAACGUCAUUUAAGAAUAUUUGUUGUUCAUGAACUUUUCAAGAAUACAUUGCCUCCAGCAUCAAGUAACAGAAGAUUUUUUCCGACAAAAAAAGACAUUACCAAUCCCUAUUAUAAUGCAUACACAAAACGAAAAAUGUCGAAAAUUGACCAAGCAAAUGUGCAAUUACUGGUAGAUGAGUGGUGCCACAAGUUACCUGAAGAUAACAUUCUCUUCAGACCCUAU